CCUGACUUACAUGGCAUAUAUGUUAGUUUGAGCCGGCACAGUGAGAUUAACCAUUAUACUUGAACUCUUGCAAUACUUAGCUCUAACCCUUUUUAUUCAUACUAUACUAUCUUAUGUAAAUCGUUGCGCCAGAAAUUCAGGGAUGCACUCAACUGUUAGCCUCACAAGCCUGAGAAAUAAUGUUUUUGAAAUUAUCCAGAUCGAUCUUGUUAGUAAUCCUCAAGCAAUGUGUAAUGUAUAUACACAUGUCAAUCAUGAAUUGCAGUAUGUUGUGCAAAUGUGUUCUGGUCGUCCUAAAUUUUUGCCUGAUAAAUUAACCAUUUCCAUUUUUAUGUUUUAUUGAGAGGUGUAUAAUGUUUUUGUUGUUGAAAUCUGCAUUUCUUCUAAUAUAAUAAGCAUGGUUUGGAAGAGAUUGUUAUGGACCAUCCACGACAAUUAAUAAUCAUACAUUGAGCGCGCCUACAACAUUGUAUUGGUUAUGUAGUUCUGUGUGGGGGUAGAGUUCAUGCCGUUGACAGUUUCUUGCAACCAUAUUAUCAUAAGUAUCAUGAUGUGACUUAUUUACCCAGAACUAGCUUUUCAUGUAUUAUCUUUUUAGUCACAUUCUUCCAACUUCUAUGCAUUAGAAAAAGGGGCAGUCCUCGUUUAGUAUUUAUAAAUGAUAUGGUGUCUUUCUAAGGCAUGGUUGUGAAAGAUGAUAUAUCUUGGACAAGAGACAAUGUCACCGCUAGAUAAAUGGUGUGCACUCAGAACUAAUAUGGAGAUCAUGUCUUCUUUUCUAAUUGUCCUGUAAUACUUUUUGUGGUCAAUAUCACAUUUUUUAAUAUGUGGGUAUGAUAUGGAGUAUAUUGCUACCACUAUCAGAUGGAUUCCGGAUGGACAACUUGAGGAUCUCCUUUCUUCAUAUCUCACACCAACUCAAGUGAUACGCUAUGACGAUCGCUUAGCAAGUGAAGACAACAAGAUUUCACCGACAUCGUUUUCAACGGUCUCCGCUGUCACGCCGCGUCAAUGGCUCCAUCGCCCCCACCCCCUCCUCCAGAGCCCGAUUAGUCUAGUAGCUUCUUCUUUGUGUGUUGUUGUGUCGUGUCCCCAACCAGACUUAUUUUCUUUUCUGCUAUAACUUGUACCUUUCAUACUGUUGGUUGUAUGGUGCGGUUGUUUUAUAAUACAAAAACAUUUUCUCAUCA